CUUAUACCUUACCCAUACGAGUAAUUUAAUAAGAUCUAGUGUGAUUUAAAAAACAAGUAUCUGUGGUUUCCAAAGUAAUAUAUCAACAGGUAAACGCCAAGUUCUGAUAACUGUCAGUCGAAAUUGUGCUGAGACCUUUCCUGUAUUUAGACGCAUUUACCCAAAAAAAUGUAUCAAAUACAAAUUUUACUAGCUGCGUUAUUUAUCUCUGGAAUUCAAAGCGUUCCAACUGAUUUCUUAAAAAUAGCACCAACAGAAGUAUUUCAUCAAGUUAUGGAAAAAUUAGAAAUGAUAGAGCAAACGCAUUUAAAGAAUGAUGAUGGAUUUAGGGCAGCUGUUUUAUACUUACAAGGCAAGGAAUGGAGAAGUGCUGUAAAUAGGGCAGUAAAUACACCAGAAUAUGCUGAUUUUAACAAAAUGACUAAUGAGUAUGGACUUAAUAUCAGUAAAGCAAUUGAGUGCAUAAGAAACCAUAUUGCCUCGUUAAAAGUAGAUCCCAAUGAAGUGACUGCUAAACCCAAUUUGGACCCUUUUAUUCAGGAUUUGCAAAAAAAUAUUCCAAUUACUAAUAUUGCUAAACUGUUGGCAUCUAAGCAAAAUGAUCCCGCGGUGAAAAAGAUUCGCCAAGAAAUUGCCUCAGUCAAAAACCAAAAGAUUGCUGAACAUUUACACAAUAUUCCCGAAAUGAAAAAGCUUCGCGAGGUUCUGAAGGGGAUGAACUUUGAUGUUGAGCCAUAUAUUGCACUGGCCUAUACCUUUAUUGGAUGGGUUCAUUGAUAUAUUAAUUUAAUUAUUUUCGGCUCGUUUAUCUUUUUAUCGUUGUAGAGUUUAUGUGAUUAUAGAGGAUUAUUAUUGUUUUUGUUACCAGCCAUUUUUCAAUAAAAUAUUACUAUAAAUAA